AGCUAGAAGUAGCUUGGAAUUUCCUUUCUGAUGUCUAUGGCGAGAGUCAAUAGGACCUAAAGUUCUGGCCCUGGCUCAGAAGAAUGGCAGAUAAGCCAACGAGAGGCCUUGUUCCAUGGGUAGAUAGAUUCUUGCUUCACUUGCAGCUUUCUAGUGGAUUCCUUCCAGAUAGAAACUGAAACUUGAGAACCACUGAAAGCCGUGCCUCUCCCGGGACUUCCUAGCUCUGACAUAGGAUACUAAUGCUACAAGCAAUCGGAACUCACCUGCCCCUGCUCAGCCAGAGCCUUUUCCAGGUCCUCCACCCGUGUCUGUGCUCUCUGUAUUUCUGCCUGCAGCUGCUCACGGGUCUGUAGGAUAGGAGGAAGAAUACAUCAAAUUUUCUCUAA